UGUCCGAUGGUGUAACUGGCAACACGUCAGAUUUUGAUUCUGAAGAGUCCUGGUUCGAGCCCAGGUCGGACAA
rnacentral:tRNA from 1 species